CCUACGGGUGGCAGCAGUCGAGAAUCAUUCACAAUGGGGGAAACCCUGAUGGUGCGACGCCGCGUGGGGGAAUGAAGGUCUUCGGAUUGUAAACCCCUGUCAUGUGGGAGCAAAUUAAAAAGAUAGUACCACAAGAGGAAGAGACGGCUAACUCUGUGCCAGCAGCCGCGGUAAUACAGAGGUCUCAAGCGUUGUUCGGAAUCACUGGGCGUAAGGCGUGCGUAGGCUGUUUCGUAAGUCGUGUGUGAAAGUCGCGGGCUCAACCCGCGGACGGCACAUGAUACUGCGAGACUAGAGUAAUGGAGGGGGAACCGGAAUUCUCGGUGUAGCAGUGAAAUGCGUAGAUAUCGAGAGGAACACUCGUGGCGAAGGCGGGUUCCUGGACAUUAACUGACGCUGAGGCACGAAGGCCAGGGGAGCGAAAGGGAUUAGAUACCCGGGUAGUC
rnacentral:rRNA from 1 species